CAGAGGAUAGUUUAAUUUAAAAUAUUAAUUUUGGAGAUUAAAGAUAAGGUUUCUUUUCCUCUGA
rnacentral:tRNA from 1 species